rnacentral:rRNA from 1 species
UACGUAGGGUGCGAGCGUUGUCCGGAAUUAUUGGGCGUAAAGAGCUCGUAGGCGGUCUGUCGCGUCUGCUGUGAAAACCCGAGGCUCAACCUCGGGCCUGCAGUGGUACGGGCAGACUAGAGUGCGGUAGGGAGAAUGGAACUCCUGGUGUAGCGGUGGAAUGCGCAGAUAUCAGGAAGAACACCGAUGGCGAAGGCAGUUCUCUGGGCCGUAACUGACGCUGAGGAGCGAAAGCGUGGGGAGCGAACAGG